CACCCCUGGCAAUGGGCAAAGAGAUACUUUGUUGGUGGUGGUGUUCUUGUAUCAGUCAGGGGCAGAGCAGAAGGCAGUUUUUUGUUCAUCCUAGUUUGAUGCUUGGCUUGGUGGGCAAAGCUGUUUUAUGCCUGAGACACAUAA